AGCAGCCGCGGUAAUUCCAGCUCCAAUAGCGUAUAUUAAAGUUGUUGCAGUUAAAAAGCUCGUAGUUGAACUUCGGGGUUUACCCAUUGGUCAGGCUUAAUUGUCUGUACUGGUGAGAUAAAUCUCUACCUUCUGAGGAACUUUCAUGCCAUUUAUUUGGUGUGAUGGGAAAUCAGGACUGUUACUUUGAAAAAAUUAGAGUGUUUAAAGCAGGCUAACGUCUGAAUACAUUAGCAUGGAAUAAUGAAAUAGGACGGACUGAUUCUAUUUCGUUGGUUUCUAGGAUCACCGUAAUGAUUAAUAGGGAUAGUUGGGGGCAUUAGUAUUCAAUUGUCAGAGGUGAAAUUCUUGGAUUUAUUGAAGACUAACUACUGCGAAAGCAUUUGCCAAGGAUGUUUUCAUUAAUCAAGAACGAAAGUUAGGGGAUCGAAGACGAUCAGAUACCGUCGUAGUCUUAACCAUAAACUAUGCCGACUAGGGAUCGGACGAAGUUAAUUUUAUAAUGACGCG
rnacentral:rRNA from 1 species